ACUGUCGCAGAGGGGAAAGGUCACCAGUCAAGCUGACCAAUCAAAGGAUAACUCUAAAUCCCUCCCUCUGCACGAUAAAAAUACGCAAAUUGGGGCGGGCCUAGUUCGGAAAGAUGCCGGAAGUGUUUCUGUGGCCAUCUUGAGCAGGUCGCAAGCUAAAUCCUGCCAUCUUAGGAGAGUCUCGCCCUGAUGUCCAGGCUGGAGUGCAAUCACUCAGUCUCGGCUCACUGCAACCUCCACCUCCUGGGUUCAGAUGCUGUUGACUGGGGCAAAGAAUAAUGGGAGAAAAACAGCUGAGUCCUAAAUAACAGAGGGAAACCAACUUUCAAUAAAGUAUUCAACAACUAA
rnacentral:antisense_RNA from 1 species